CCUUGACCGUUGAUCUUAAAGUUAUCCAUGUGUCGUGUUCUGCAGAUAGCAAAACAAGGAAAAACAGGAAUGAGAAAAACAGAGGAUUUUGAUCCUACCACCACAGGGAGAGAUGUCAUGAACUGAAUCAUUGCGGUUAAUUGGACUCCCUUUCAGAUGGUGACUUUUCCUUCUGAGGCCCAUCAAGACGAGGCUAGGAGACUCACUGGUCUCUGUAUUCUGCUCCAGGUUCCCAGCGGUCCUGCUUGGUAUCUCAGGGAGAGGGUUGCCAGGAAGUCGUUUAACUCAGAUGGUCCCCUAGUUCCUCAUCAUCCUCCUUCGUCCAUGCACAACCCUAGCAUCCUUUCUGAGGAAGACUUUUAGGCAGCCUUGAUUGGGUGACUGGGGACAACUUCAUGGACCCUAGCAUCCUUUCUGAGGAAGACUUUCAGGAUGAUAGACCAGUCAUCUUCCCUGGCCGUAAUGUUCCCGGAUCAGCAGGUGGUUCCACAAAGGGUCCCUCCCAUAUAAGCACUGGGCUUGUUCAUAACAUGGCCGAGUUGUCCUCCUCCAUUCCAUGCUUCCUUUGAUGGACAUACCACGAUGCACAGGAUCCCUCGAUCCGGAUUAUGUUGCCGAGGGUCCCGAUGGCCAGUGAAAUUAUUGGCCUCCCCAUUCCCUUCAACUGUGUAAGCCAUUUUCCUCUUUCCAUUAUGUGUCCUUUUUCUUUGCAUUCUUCAAACAUUUUUUGUUAUAGGUCUCUCCUGCUAUAUACGCCGAGUGCCACUGGAUAAUCCAGUCUUAACAUUUGCUUGUAUCGUAAGACAAAGCGGAUUUGGGACCAGGGCUUGUACAUUGCUGAUAUUGAGGCAAAACUGAGGCAGUUCGACCUUGAUACUGGACACGGAGGUGGAGAUCCGGGUCAUGGAGUCGGAGAGCCCUCCUUCGGAGCUGGUGGAUCUGAUUUCGGGAGUGGAGAGACCAAUGUAGGCCCCACCUUUUCUAUGGAUGAGAUCAAGUUCCUCAUGGAGGAGGAUGAGCAGGAUGCACAGGGAGGACAGACAUAAGGUUGAUGCUAGGAUUUUCCAUUUAUUUUGAAUGUUGAAUGAACUUUUCUUUUCUUCCUUUUUGCAAAAAUUUCUCUUUAUGAACUCUCUCUCUCUCUUUUUUUUUUUUUUUUUUUUGUUAAAACAAUGCACAUGAUGUUAAUUGAUUAGCUUUCAUUUUUAUUGCCAUGUUAUCUUUGUGGAUAAUGCACGA